GAUGAACGCUGGCGGCGUGCCUAAUACAUGCAAGUCGAGCGAAUGGAUUAAGAGCUUGCUCUUAUGAAGUUAGCGGCGGACGGGUGAGUAACACGUGGGUAACCUGCCCAUAAGACUGGGAUAACUCCGGGAAACCGGGGCUAAUACCGGAUAACAUUUUGAACCGCAUGGUUCGAAAUUGAAAGGCGGCUUCGGCUGUCACUUAUGGAUGGACCCGCGUCGCAUUAGCUAGUUGGUGAGGUAACGGCUCACCAAGGCAACGAUGCGUAGCCGACCGGGGAGGGUGAUCGGCCACACUGGGACUGAGACACGGCCCUGACUCCUACGGGAGGUAGCAGUAGGGAAUCUUCCGCAAUGGACGAAAGUCUGACGGAGCAACGCCGCGUGAGUGAUGAAGGCUUUCGGGUCGUAAAACUCUGUUGUUAGGGAAGAACAGGUGCUAGUUGAAUAAGCUGGCACCUUGACGGUACCUAACCAGAAAGCCACGGCUAACUCCGUGCCAGCAGCCGCCGUAA
rnacentral:rRNA from 1 species